GUGCCUGUGAUGUAUUACUUCUCCAUAACAUUGUGAGAUAAAUGGAAUGAAGUGUUUGGCAGCCCCUGGAUCAAAAGAAAAUCUUUCUACUCUUUUUGAGGACCACCAGCCAUCAGGUGUCUCGGGUUCUGGGUGACGCCAGCAUUCACGGGACCUCAGAGGAGAAGAGAUUAUGUGAGACAGAGUCAAUGGCCACAAUGGCGGACGGAGGGAGUGCCUUACAAUAUGGCAACCCAAGAAAAUCACUGCGCAACAGGAAGGUCCAGGGCCUAUCUGAGACACAGCUAGAGAACCACAGACAAAGCCCAGUUAUGGUGAUCUGUCAGCCCAGAACUCACCUGCCCCCAGGAGCCAGAUGACCACGCAGCAGAGGAGUCUGGUGCCCAUGGCAGAGAG